AUUGAACGCUGGCGGCAUGCCUUACACAUGCAAGUCGAACGGCAGCACGGGAGCAAUCCUGGUGGCGAGUGGCGAACGGGUGAGUAAUAUAUCGGAACGUGCCCAGUCGUGGGGGAUAACGUAGCGAAAGCUACGCUAAUACCGCAUACGAUCUACGGAUGAAAGCGGGGGAUCGCAAGACCUCGCGCGAUUGGAGCGGCCGAUAUCAGAUUAGGUAGUUGGUGAGGUAAAGGCUCACCAAGCCGACGAUCUGUAGCUGGUCUGAGAGGACGACCAGCCACACUGGGACUGAGACACGGCCCAGACUCCUACGGGAGGCAGCAGUGGGGAAUUUUGGACAAUGGGCGCAAGCCUGAUCCAGCAAUGCCGCGUGCAGGAUGAA
rnacentral:rRNA from 1 species